UAUUACAUGGAUUUAUUGUGAUGAUGUAGGCUAUAUUACAUGGAUUUAUUGUGAAGGUGUAGGCUAUAUUACAUGGAUUUAUUGUGAAGGUGUAGGCUGUAUUACAUGGAUUUAUUGUGAUGGUGUAGGCUAUAUUACAUGGAUUUAUUGUGAAGGUGUAGGCUAUAUUACAUGGAUUUAUUGUGAAGGUGUAGGCUAUAUUACAUGGAUUUAUUGUGAAGGUGUAGGCUAUAUUACAUGGAUUUAUUGUGAAGGUGUAGGCUAUAUUACAUGGAUUUAUUGUGAAGGUGUAGGCUAUAUUACAUGGAUUUAUUGUGAAGGUGUAGGCUAUAUUACAUGGAUUUAUUGUGAUGGUGUAGGCUAUAUUACAUGGAUUUAUUGUGAAGGUGUAGGCUAUAUUACAUGGAUUUAUUGUGAAGGUGUAGGCUAUAUUACAUGGAUUUAUUGUGAAGGUGUAGGCUAUAUUACAUGGAUUUAUUGUGAAGGUGUAGGCUAUAUUACAUGGAUUUAUUGUGAAGGUGUAGGCUAUAUU